AAGACCUUGCGCUUUUGGAGCGGCCGAUGCCUGAUUAGCUUGUUGGUAAGGUAAAGGCUUACCAAGGCUUCGAUCAGUAGCUGGUCUGAGAGGACGGCCAGCCACACUGGGACUGAGACACGGCCCAGACUCCUACGGGAGGCAGCAGUGGGGAACUUUGGACAAUGGGGGAAACCCUGAUCCAGCCAUGCCGCGUGAGUGAAGAAGGCCUUCGGGUUGUAAAGCUCUUUCAGCCGGAACGAAACGGUUACGGAUAAUACCCGUGACUACUGACGGUACCGGAAGAAGAAGUACCGGCUAACUACGUGCCAGCAGCCGCGGUAAUACGUAGGGUGCGAGCGUUAAUCGGAAUUACUGGGCGUAAAGCGUGCGCAGGUGGUUUUGUAAGUCAGAUGUGAAAGCCCCGGGCUCAACCUGGGAACU
rnacentral:rRNA from 1 species